rnacentral:tRNA from 1 species
UGUCACGUAAUUCAAUCAGGCAGAAUCAAUGCUCUUGGCCAGGGUAGGUUAGAGGUUCAAAUCCUCUCGUGACAGC